GACGAACGCUGGCGGCGUGCUUAACACAUGCAAGUCGAACGGAAAGGCACUGCUUUUGUGGGGUGCUGGAGUGGCGAACGGGUGAGUAAGACGUGAGUAACCUGACCUUGACUUUGGGAUAACUUCAGGAAACUGGGGCUAAUACAGGAUAGGAGCUCAUGUAGCAGGGUGGGGGUUGGAAAGUCUCGGCGGGUGUGGAUGGAUUAGCGGCUUAUCAGCUAGCUGGUGGGGUAGUGGAUGGCCAAGGGAUUGACGGGUAGCCGGCCGGAGAGCGUGACCGGCCUCAUGGGGACUGCGAUACGGCCCAGACUCCUACGUUAGGCAGCAGUGGGGAGUAUUACCCAGUGAUCCGAAGCCUGUUGCGACGACCCCGCGGUCGUGAUGCCGUCCUUCUGGUUGUAAACCGCUUUCGCCUGUUACGAAGCGUUAGUGACGGUAAUGGGUGAAUAAGCACCGGCUAACUACGUG
rnacentral:rRNA from 1 species